rnacentral:snRNA from 1 species
UUACCUGAAUACAUGGAGACAA